UACAACCGAACAGACAACUUCUCCCACCACACAAACGAUACCCGCCAGAACUCCCACACUUCAUUCAUGGCCUCCACUAGCACAACUCUCCUCGUCCCUCUCACUCCCUCUCUCUCUCCUCGCUUCUCUCUCCUCACCUCCUCUCUCUCUCCUCUCCGAACCACCGCCACAAGAACCACCAGGAUUAAACCACUGUCAGUGUCGGUUUCCUCGCGGUCACUGCAAGCUCUGAUAUUCGACUGCGACGGCGUGAUACUGGAGUCCGAGCACUUGCAUCGACAGGCUUACAACGACGCUUUCUCUCGCUUCGACGUCCGUUGCCCCUCCUCCGCCACGUCUCAGCCCCUCAACUGGGACUCCGACUUCUACGACGAGCUCCAGAAUCGAAUCGGCGGCGGAAAACCUAAGAUGCGAUGGUACUUUAAGGAGCACGGUUGGCCGUCUUCUUCUAUAUUUGAGAAACCUCCAGAGGAUGAUGCUGCCAGAGCGAAGUUGAUUGAUACUAUUCAGGAUUGGAAGACUGAAAGGUACAAAGAGAUUAUCAAAUCUGGAACUGUGGAGCCUAGACCUGGAGUUUUGAGACUGAUGGAUGAGGCAAAGGCUGCGGGUAAACAACUAGCAGUUUGCUCUGCUGCAACAAAAAGUUCUGUCAUACUAUGCCUAGAAAACCUUAUUGGAAUGGACCGGUUCCAGAGUCUUGAUUGCUUCCUUGCAGGCGAUGAUGUGAAAGAAAAGAAGCCUGAUCCUUCAAUUUAUUUGACAGCUGCUACGAAGCUGGGUGUUUCAGGGAAAGAAUGUUUGGUGGUGGAGGAUUCUGUUAUUGGGCUACAGGCUGCCACAAGUGCUGGGAUGUCAUGUGUUAUUACAUAUACUCCAUCUACAGCUAAUCAGGAUUUUGAAGACGCAAUAGGAAUCUACCCUGACUUGAAUAGUGUAAGAUUGAAGGACUUAGAGUUGUUGCUUCAAGAUGAUGUUGCUGCGACUUAGGGAACUAACAGAUUCCGUUGCUCAUAGCUCGUCUGCUCUGGUUGUUACUUGCUUUUAACAGAUUGCAGAUACUGGAACACAGCUAGUUUCCAGGUGACACGCUUAGGAGCGCUCAAGGGAAUUAUUAAGUACCUUUGAAUGGGACAAUUCCUUUUUCGAUAAGUUCAGGGUAUUGAAGAUAUCCCAUGAGUCCACAAGCUGAGGCAGUCCAAAACUGAACCUCCGGAAUCCCCAAUUCUUCUGCAGCUUCUCUCCCGAAGCCCAUGACUCCAUCAGAAACCACAUACGAAACCUGAGGCAUUCCUGCUGAUGAAUUGAGCUCGGUCAAUAAAGCCCGAAACGGCCCCAAACAAUUUGUUCGGAGUGAAGCGCAGAGCGCCACAGGGUCUUGAGUCGCAUCACGAUCGGAUGGCGGAAGCCCGUCUGGAAUUGUCUUGAACUGGAAACCGACAUAGCCCUCGACGUACUCUGGUCCUCUAGACCGGACCAAGCGUUUGUGGUUGAAUUCUGUGUUGACAUAGGUGAUGAAGAAGCCUAUUGAGUGCAGAAGUUGGGCUAGUUUCAUCAUGGGGGUUACAUGCCCUUGUGCCGGAAAAGGUACACAAACUGCAUGGGGCUUUCUUUCUGAUGUUUCGGUACUCAUAGUUACAGUGACUAAAAGCCUCUGUUGAAGCAAAGCUAACUAUAUGUGGUUCUUAAAUAACCAAAAAUCUCUCGAGCAUGUCCUGUCCAAUUGUGCCUCUGUUCUCCAGGUCCAACUCCCAUCUCUUCAGAUUAGUUUUGGCCGGAAAUAUUUUUUGUAGGGAAAAGUAAGAACCAAGAACGUGGCUUAAGUGGGUUGCUUGAUCAAGUAAGACAAAAGUGGCCUCGUCAGGGUUGAGUAAACUACAAUUUAUUUGGUGGAAAACCAUUUCAAUAAAGUCCACCGAAACCAUCGGAAACCUAUAUUAUACU